AGAGAAGAACACUUCUGGAAUGGGACCCAGUGGGACUCUCUCUCUCUCUGACAUGGGAAAGUCCUGCAGGUACAUGGAAGGAUCUCUCCCCAGACCAGAUGUUCCGCAGUUUCCCUGCCAGUGUCACGUGGUGCGAACAGAUGUGAAGCUGCCAGAGAGGCCGCCCCGCCCCCCCGCACAGUCCCAGCCACCGGCACCGGCACAGGCAGUCUCACCGCUCCGGGCCGCUCUGUCCUGCACAGCUCGCAGCACCUCAGUCGCUUGGUCCCUCAGAAGAUACGGGUUGAAUGAUCGCUUGUACCCUGGGUAACCGGCAGCCGGGAGGGAAGUAGAUGUGAGAGCUGGAGGCUGCAGGCGGGCUGCCUGGCAAGCGAUAACAGUCACAAACUGUCGGACAGCCUGGGCAUCAGCGUUGCUCCCAUGAGACUUCUGAUUUGUGGAUCCCACACAGGACAGGCCUUAACCAAAAGUGAAUGGGGAUGUGUGUGCAUAACUGGGUCAACUGGAUCAAGCCAUGUCUAAAAAUGCCCCAAUUUUGGUUUGAAAAUAUUGGUAUGUUUGGGGCAUAUAAGUGGUUUAGGCAUUAUCACCUGCUCAUUCUGGAAUGGUAAAAGGUAAAAGGUUUAUUUUCCAAACAGAUGCUUACACAAAUCCUAAUAAAAAAAAUCAUCAGGAAAACACAGAGAGGAAGAUGUAAUGACUUUUACCUAACAUUGUACCGUGACCAUAUUUCCUCCCUUCUUCAACUAAAAAUGAUUACUGUGGAUGGUUUAAUUUGUCUAUUUGCUAUAAUAAACAUGUAUUUACAUUCA